rnacentral:rRNA from 1 species
AUUGAACGCUGGCGGCGUGCUUAACACAUGCAAGUCGAUCGGUAACGCGGGGGCAACCCUCGGCGACGAGAGGCGGACGGGUGAGUAACGCUUGGGAACCGUGCCCACUCAGCGGGGGACGAACCCGGGAAACCCGGGCUAAUACCGCAUACGCUCCACGGAGGAAAGCAGGGGACCGCAAGGCCUUGCACUGAUGGAUGAGCCCAAGCCGGAUUAGCUAGUUGGCGGGGUAACGGCCCACCAAGGCGACGACCGUUAGCUGGUCUGAGAGGACGAUCAGCCACACCGGAACUGAGACACGGUCCGGACUCCUACGGGA